rnacentral:tmRNA from 1 species
GGGGCCGAUCUGGUUUCGACGUGGGUGCGGAGUCGGGAUAGUGCAUGUCGAGCACCAGUUCGCUCGUUAAACCACUGGAAACAAGUAACUGCAAACGACGAACAGUUUGCCCUCGCCGCUUAACACCGGUGAGCCCCUCAACGGUUGGCCGAUGGGCCGGGCCUGAGCCGCAAGGCAAAGGCUGAGGGGUCAUUCACAUUGGCUGGUUGUCUGGCGGGCCACUCGUCAGAUGAUAAGACUCAGUGGCUGGCGACCUGGGCAGCGUGCCGCUGCGCGGUUCAGGGCGUGAGACUCAAAUCAGACGGCUAAACAUGUAGAUCUACCUGGCGAUGGCUUGCGGACGGGGGUUCAAUUCCCCCCGGCUCCACCA